rnacentral:rRNA from 1 species
GGGUUGUGAGGUUAAGCGACUAAGCGUACACGGUGGAUGCCCUGGCAGUCAGAGGCGAUGAAGGACGUGCUAAUCUGCGAAAAGCGUCGGUAAGGUGAUAUGAACCGUUAUAGCCGGCGAUGUCCGAAUGGGGAAACCCAGUGCAAUUCGUUGCACUAUCGUUUGAUGAAUACAUAGUCAAACGAGGCGAACCGGGGGAACUGAAACAUCUAAGUACCCCGAGGAAAAGAAAUCAACCGAGAUUCCCCCAGUAGCGGCGAGCGAACGGGGAGCAGCCCGGAGUCUGAAUCAGCUUGUGUGUUAGUGGAAGCGUCUGGAAAGUCGCAGGGUACAGGGUGAUACUCCCGUACACUAAAGCACACAGGCUGUGAACUCGAAGAGUAGGGCGGGACACGUGGUAUCCUGUCUGAAUAUGGGGGGACCAUCCUCCAAGGCUAAAUACUCCUGACUGACCGAUAGUGAACCAGUACCGUGAGGGAAAGGCGAAAAGAACCCCGGCGAGGGGAGUGAAAAAGAACCUGAAACCGUGUACGUACAAGCAGUAGGAGCCUCUUUAUGGGGUGACUGCGUACCUUUUGUAUAAUGGGUCAGCGACUUAUAUUCUGUAGCAAGGUUAACCGUAUAGGGGAGCCGCAGGGAAACCGAGUCUUAACUGGGCGUUAAGUUGCAGGGUAUAGACCCGAAACCCGGUGAUCUAGCCAUGGGCAGGUUGAAGGUUGGGUAACACUAACUGGAGGACCGAACCGACUAAUGUUGAAAAAUUAGCGGAUGACUUGUGGCUGGGGGUGAAAGGCCAAUCAAACCGGGAGAUAGCUGGUUCUCCCCGAAAGCUAUUUAGGUAGCGCCUCGUGAACUCAUCUUCGGGGGUAGAGCACUGUUUCGGCUAGGGGGUCAUCCCGACUUACCAACCCGAUGCAAACUACGAAUACCGAAGAAUGUUAUCACGGGAGACACACGGCGGGUGCUAACGUCCGUCGUGAAGAGGGAAACAACCCAGACCGCCAGCUAAGGUCCCAAAGUCAUGGUUAAGUGGGAAACGAUGUGGGAAGGCCCAGACAGCCAGGAUGUUGGCUUAGAAGCAGCCAUCAUUUAAAGAAAGCGUAAUAGCUCACUGGUCGAGUCGGCCUGCGCGGAAGAUGUAACGGGGCUAAACCAUGCACCGAAGCUGCGGCAGCGACACUAUGUGUUGUUGGGUAGGGGAGCGUUCUGUAAGCCGUUGAAGGUGGCCUGUGAGGGUUGCUGGAGGUAUCAGAAGUGCGAAUGCUGACAUAAGUAACGAUAAUGCGGGUGAAAAACCCGCACGCCGGAAGACCAAGGGUUCCUGUCCAACGUUAAUCGGGGCAGGGUGAGUCGACCCCUAAGGCGAGGCCGAAAGGCGUAGUCGAUGGGAAACAGGUUAAUAUUCCUGUACUCGGUGUUACUGCGAAGGGGGGACGGAGAAGGCUAUGUUGGCCGGGCGACGGUUGUCCCGGUUUAAGCAUGUAGGCGGAUGUUCCAGGUAAAUCCGGAACGUUACUAACGCUGAGGUGUGAUGACGAGGCACUACGGUGCUGAAGUGACAAAUGCCCUGCUUCCAGGAAAAGCCUCUAAGCAUCAGGUAACAUCAAAUCGUACCCCAAACCGACACAGGUGGUCAGGUAGAGAAUACCAAGGCGCUUGAGAGAACUCGGGUGAAGGAACUAGGCAAAAUGGUGCCGUAACUUCGGGAGAAGGCACGCUGAUAUGUAGGUGAAGUGGUUUACCCAUGGAGCUGAAAUCAGUCGAAGAUACCAGCUGGCUGCAACUGUUUAUUAAAAACACAGCACUGUGCAAACACGAAAGUGGACGUAUACGGUGUGACGCCUGCCCGGUGCCGGAAGGUUAAUUGAUGGGGUUAUCCGUAAGGAGAAGCUCUUGAUCGAAGCCCCGGUAAACGGCGGCCGUAACUAUAACGGUCCUAAGGUAGCGAAAUUCCUUGUCGGGUAAGUUCCGACCUGCACGAAUGGCGUAAUGAUGGCCAGGCUGUCUCCACCCGAGACUCAGUGAAAUUGAACUCGCUGUGAAGAUGCAGUGUACCCGCGGCAAGACGGAAAGACCCCGUGAACCUUUACUAUAGCUUGACACUGAACACUGGUCCUUGAUGUGUAGGAUAGGUGGGAGGCUUUGAAGCGUGGACGCCAGUCUGCGUGGAGCCAUCCUUGAAAUACCACCCUUUAAUGGCUGGUGUUCUAACGUGGGCCCCUAAUCGGGGUUGCGGACAGUGUCUGGUGGGUAGUUUGACUGGGGCGGUCUCCUCCUAAAGAGUAACGGAGGAGCACGAAGGUCAGCUAAUCCUGGUCGGACAUCAGGAGGUUAGUGCAAUGGCAUAAGCUGGCUUGACUGCGAGCGUGACGGCGCGAGCAGGUGCGAAAGCAGGUCAUAGUGAUCCGGUGGUUCUGAAUGGAAGGGCCAUCGCUCAACGGAUAAAAGGUACUCCGGGGAUAACAGGCUGAUACCGCCCAAGAGUUCAUAUCGACGGCGGUGUUUGGCACCUCGAUGUCGGCUCAUCACAUCCUGGGGCUGAAGUAGGUCCCAAGGGUAUGGCUGUUCGCCAUUUAAAGUGGUACGCGAGCUGGGUUUAGAACGUCGUGAGACAGUUCGGUCCCUAUCUGCCGUGGGCGCUGGAGAAUUGAGGGGGGCUGCUCCUAGUACGAGAGGACCGGAGUGGACGCAUCACUGGUGUUCGGGUUGUCAUGCCAAUGGCAUUGCCCGGUAGCUAAAUGCGGAAGAGAUAAGUGCUGAAAGCAUCUAAGCACGAAACUUGCCCCGAGAUGAGUUCUCCCUGACUCCUUGAGAGUCCUGAAGGAACGUUGAAGACGACGACGUUGAUAGGCCGGGUGUGUAAGCGCAGCGAUGCGUUGAGCUAACCGGUACUAAUGAACCGUGAGGCUUAACCUUACAACGCCGAAG